CGUUACAGGUUCUCGGUGUGCUUCUGCCAAAACCCAAAUUUUCUAUGGUUGACCUCGGAUCAGGUAGGGAUACCCGCUGAACUUAAGCAUAUCAAUAG
rnacentral:rRNA from 1 species